rnacentral:SRP_RNA from 1 species
UGCCUGUAGUCCCAGCUCUCGGGAGGCUGAGGUGGGAGGAUCGCUUGAGCCCAGGAGUUCUGGGCUGUAGUGCGCUAUGCCGAUCGGGUGUCCGCACUAAGUUCGGCAUCAAUAUGGUGACCUCCCGGGAGCGGGGGACCACCAGGUUGCCUAAGGAGGGGUGAACCGGCCCAGGUCGGAAACGGAGCAGGUCAAAACUCCCGUGCUGAUCAGUAGUGGGAUUGCGCCUGUGAAUAGCCACUGCACUCCAGCCUGGGCAACAUAGUGAGACCCUG